ACGGAGGGUGCGAGCGUUAAUCGGAAUCACUGGGCGUAAAGCGCACGUAGGCGGAGUCGUAAGUCGGAUGUGAAAGCCCUCGGCUCAACCGGGGAACUGCAUUCGAUACUGCUAUGCUUGAGUGCCGUUGAGGGUGGCGGAAUUUCAGGUGUAGGAGUGAAAUCCGUAGAUAUCUGGCGGAACACCAAUGGCGAAGGCGGCCACCUGGCCGGCCACUGACGCUGAGGUGCGAAAGCGUGGGGAUCAAACAG
rnacentral:rRNA from 1 species